UACGUAGGGGGCUAGCGUUGUCCGGAAUCAUUGGGCGUAAAGCGCGUGUAGGCGGUCCGGUAAGUCCGCUGUGAAAGUCGGGGGGCUCAACCCUCGGAUGCCGGUGGAUACUGUCGGGCUUGAGUACGGAAGAGGCGAGUGGAAUCCUGGUGUAGCGGUGAAAUGCGCAGAUAUCAGGAGGAACACCAAUUGCGAAGGCAGCUCGCUGGGACGUACUGACGCUGAGACGCGAAAGCGUGGGGGAGCAAACAGG
rnacentral:rRNA from 1 species